rfam:Triticum aestivum genome assembly, contig: Triticum_aestivum_CS42_TGACv1_scaffold_129487_2BL
AAUGUACUCUCUCCAUCCGGAAAUACUUGUUGGGGAAAUGGAUGUAUCUAGACGUAUUUUAGUUCUAGAUACAUCUAAUUUUAUCUAUUUGUGCGACAAGUAUUUCCGGACGGAGGGAGUAUAGU